UACGGAGGGAGCUAGCGUUAUUCGGAAUUACUGGGCGUAAAGCGCACGUAGGCGGCUUUGUAAGUUAGAGGUGAAAGCCUGGAGCUCAACUCCAGAACUGCCUUUAAGACUGCAUCGCUUGAAUCCAGGAGAGGUGAGUGGAAUUCCGAGUGUAGAGGUGAAAUUCGUAGAUAUUCGGAAGAACACCAGUGGCGAAGGCGGCUCACUGGACUGGUAUUGACGCUGAGGUGCGAAAGCGUGGGGGAGCAAACAGG
rnacentral:rRNA from 1 species